rnacentral:rRNA from 1 species
UGGGGAAUAUUCCGCAAUGGACGAAAGUCUGACGGAGCAACGCCGCGUGAGUGAUGAAGGUUUUCGGACUGUAAAACUCUGUUGUUUAGGACGAAAGUGCCUGUUGCAAAUAGUUGCAGGUAUUGACGGUACUGAACGAGGAAGCCACGGCUAACUACGUGCCAGCAGCCGCGGUAAUACGUAGGUGGCAAGCGUUGUCCGGAAUUAUUGGGCGUAAAGAGCAUGUAGGUGGGCUGUUAAGUCUGUUGUG